UACGAAGGGGGCGAGCGUUGUUCGGAUUUACUGGGCGUAAAGGGCGCGCAGGCGGUCAUCUUUAUCAGGCGUGAAAGCCCUGGGCUUAACCUGGGAGGUGCGCUUGGGACGGGGUGGCUAGAGAUCGGGAGAGGAGAGUGGAAUUCCCAGUGUAGAGGUGAAAUUCGUAGAUAUUGGGAAGAACACCGGUGGCGAAGGCGGCUCACUGGCUCGUAUCUGACGCUCAGGCGCGACAGCGUGGGGAUCAAACAGG
rnacentral:rRNA from 1 species